AUUGAACGCUGGCGGCAGGCUUAACACAUGCAAGUCGAGCGGAGAUGAGGUGCUUGCACCUUAUCUUAGCGGCGGACGGGUGAGUAAUGCUUAGGAAUCUGCCUAUUAGUGGGGGACAACAUUCCGAAAGGAAUGCUAAUACCGCAUACGCCCUACGGGGGAAAGCAGGGGAUCUUCGGACCUUGCGCUAAUAGAUGAGCCUAAGUCGGAUUAGCUAGUUGGUGGGGUACAGGCCUGCAAAGGCGACGAUCUGUAGCGGGUCUGAGAGGAUGAACGGCCACACUUAGACUGAGAAACGGCCCAGACUCCUACGGGAGGCAGCAGUGGGGAAUAUUGGACAAUGGGCGGAAGCCUGAUCCAGCCAUGCCGCGUGUGUGAAGAAGGCCUUUUGGUUGUAAAGCACUUUAAGCGAGGAGGAGGCUACCUGGAUUAAUACUCUAGGAUAGUGGACGUUACUCGCAGAAUAAGCACCGGCUAACUCUGUGCCAGCAGCCGCAGUAAAAC
rnacentral:rRNA from 1 species